GAGCGGAUGUAGCAAUACAUCAGCGGCAGACGGGUGAGUAACGCGUGGGAACGUACCUUUUGGUUCGGAACAACCCCAGGGAAACUUGGGCUAAUACCGGAUAAGCCCUAACGGGGAAAGAUUUAUCGCCGAAAGAUCGGCCCGCGUCUGAUUAGCUAGUUGGUGAGGUAAUGGCUCACCAAGGCGACGAUCAGUAGCUGGUCUGAGAGGAUGAUCAGCCACAUUGGGACUGAGACACGGCCCAAACUCCUACGGGAGGCAGCAGUGGGGAAUAUUGGACAAUGGGCGCAAGCCUGAUCCAGCCAUGCCGCGUGAGUGAUGAAGGCCCUAGGGUUGUAAAGCUCUUUUGUGCGGGAAGAUAAUGACGGUACCGCAAGAAUAAGCCCCGGCUAACUUCGUG
rnacentral:rRNA from 1 species